AACGAACGCUGGCGGCAUGCCUAACACAUGCAAGUCGAACGAGACCUUCGGGUCUAGUGGCGCACGGGUGCGUAACGCGUGGGAACCUGCCCUUAGGUUCGGAAUAACUCCCCGAAAGGGGUGCUAAUACCGGUUAAUGUCUUCGGACCAAAGAUUUUUCGCCUUUGGAUGGGCCCGCGUUGGAUUAGCUGGUUGGUAGGGUAAAAGCCUACCAAGGAGACGAUCCAUAGCUGGUCUGAGAGGAUGAUCAGCCACACUGGGACUGAGACACGGCCCAGACUCCUACGGGAGGCAGCAGUAGGGAAUAUUGGACGAUGGGCGAAAGCCUGAUCCAGCAAUGCCGCGUGAGUGAUGAAGGCCUUAGGGUUGUAAAGCUCUUUUACCCGGGAUGAUAAUGACAGUACCGGGAGAAUAAGCUCCGGCUAACUCCGUG
rnacentral:rRNA from 1 species